rnacentral:rRNA from 1 species
AUACGUAGGGGGCUAGCGUUAUCCGGAAUUACUGGGCGUAAAGGGUGCGUAGGUGGUUUCUUAAGUCAGAAGUGAAAGGCUACGGCUCAACCGUAGUAAGCUUUUGAAACUAAGAGACUUGAGUGCAGGAGAGGAGAGUAGAAUUCCUAGUGUAGCGGUGAAAUGCGUAGAUAUUAGGAGGAAUACCAGUUGCGAAGGCGGCUCUAUGGACUGUAACUGACACUGAGGCCCGAAAGCGUGGUGAGCAAACAGGAUUAGAUACCCUGGUAGUCCACGCCGUAAACGAUGAGUACUAGCUGUCGGGGGUUACCCCCCUCGGUGGCGCAGCUAACGCAUUAAGUACUCCGCCUGGGAAGUACGCUCGCAAGAGUGAAACUCAAAUGAAUUGACGGGG